CGAUGUGGGAAGGCAUAGACAGCUAGGAGGUUGGCUUAGAAGCAGCCACCCUUUAAAGAAAGCGUAAUAGCUCACUAGUCGAGUCGGCCUGCGCGGAAGAUGUAACGGGGCUAAAACUAUGUGCCGAAGCUGCGGAUGUAACUUUAAGUUACGUGGUAGGGGAGCGUUCUGUAAGCCGAUGAAGGUGGAUUGAGAAGUCUGCUGGAGGUAUCAGAAGUGCGAAUGCUGACGUGAGUAACGACAAAACGGGUGAAAAACCCGUUCGCCGAAAGACCAAGGGUUCCAGUCCAACGUUAAUCGGGGCUGGGUGAGUCGACCCCUAAGGCGAGGCCGAAAGGCGUAGUCGAUGGGAAAUUGGUUAAUAUUCCAAUACUUCUGUGUAAUGCGAUGAGAGGACGGAGAAGGUUAGGUCAGCCUGGCGUUGGUUGUCCAGGUGGAAGACAGUAGGCAUGCAUCUUAGGCAAAUCCGGGGUGCUCUAUGCUGAGAGUCGAUAGCAAGCUAGUUUACUAGCGAAGUGGCUGAUACCAUA
rnacentral:rRNA from 1 species